ensembl:snoRNA
AUCCUUUGUAGUUCAUCAGCAUGAUGACUGGAUGUUCGUGCUGUUGUGUGAGAUGUGCCUCCCUCAAACCUUGUUAUGACAUCAGCCUAUUACCCAUCCGACA